CAAAACAAAAAAUAAAAUACCAGCAUAGUGAUUAUAAAUAUUAUAUUAACAGAUAAAAUGACAUCUCGAUUGUAACAAACACAAAGAGGAAGGAAAAAAAAUAAUAUUAUUUUGCAAAGACUGCGCAAAGCACAAUACGUGGAUUUAUACAACGCAAGGGGAGGAGGAGCCGGAGGAAGGGGUGGAGUCGGGAUACUUUGGUGAGGGGGAAAAACGGUGACAGAAAACUGUAAAUAAAUAAAUAAAUACAAAGAAAAGCGGAUCUCUUUAAAAUACAAAUUGACCGACAUGCAAAGGGUGGAGGGUGACGGGUGAGGGGUGGCCGUGUGGGUUAUUUUUAAUAAUUCCUAAAACCGACAAUAAAACAGCGCGGCGGACACAAGUUCAGGAGGAGUUUGGUAUGUUGUAGGCACAGGGAUCGCCGGGCGCAUAGAGCCGCCAAGCAGAUGGAACAUGAGUUUAAUGACGUCGAAGGAUUAAAGAAUAAGUGCACGUAAGA